rnacentral:lncRNA from 1 species
CACCCACUGACAUUCAUUAAUGCUUACUGAGUAUAUAUGGAGACCAAACAGUGGAUGUGGUGGGUCAUCUCUGCUGGUACAGAUUUUUACAAGCAUGGCAAGCAGUUUUCAUGGAAAUAAAUUGGAGGCAUUAAUUUUGGAGCGUCUUACAGAGGGAAAGAGCGUCACACUUCAAGCGCCGGCUGUUGAGAUACAGGCAAAUAAAUCAAUAUCUACCGGCAGCACAAAAACACGAGUCGUCUGGGGAACACACUUUGGGUGGAAGCUGAUAACAGCCCUUCAGGAAACCGAGCUCAACAGGAAAGCGUUCAGCCAGGACUGACACAUCCUCACCUCCUCAACCCGCAUACACAAUUUGCUGCUGAAUUGAACUACAGCAUGUUCUUUGCUGACCCGGAAAGCUAAACUGCAACGAAAGGAUAAAAAUGAAUGAAAUAGGUGGGGGGCAACUUGUGAGUACUCAAAACCACAAAGUGAACGUGGAUUUUCAGCCUCUGUUCAUAUCUGGCAGUCACACACCAGUACUCACGCAGGGCUGAGAGGUUCAUUUUCUGCCAGGUUAACUCAUCAUUUUCUAACGCAGGGUAGAAUUUGACUCUUAUAUUUGGGACUGACAUGAGGGAGAGAUGCCAGAAGUGCAGGCAGUUGGAGAUAAACCACAAUUUGCCACCCUGGUGGUUUCGUGCUCUGCAAAACUGUUUCCAGACUGAAAUGACAGAGGUUGGUGACAUUGGCCAUGUAUGUAAAUGAUCACGGUGUCCUACGGAGAUUAAUUGGCUCAUGAAUAAAGAUGAGGAGCUGAGGUGUGCAGGGAGAAAUCAUUUAUCAAUUAUAUGCCUUGGAAAGCUAAAAGAUGAUGCGGCCUUAACAGCUGAAUGGGUUUGAAAGGGAGCCUUGUAAAUUGAGUUCUAAUUCUGUUCUGCCACA